rnacentral:rRNA from 1 species
AUUGAACGCUGGCGGCAUGCUUUACACAUGCAAGUCGAACGGUAACAGGCCUUCGGGUGCUGACGAGUGGCGAACGGGUGAGUAAUGCAUCGGAACGUGCCCAGAGGUGGGGGAUAACGCAGCGAAAGCUGUGCUAAUACCGCAUGUGAUCUGAGGAUGAAAGCGGGGGACCAGGCAGCAAUGUUUGGCCUCGCGCCUUUGGAGCGGCCGGUGUCAGAUUAGGUAGUUGGUGGGGUAAAGGCCUACCAAGCCGACGAUCUGUAGCUGGUCUGAGAGGACGACCAGCCACACUGGGACUGAGACACGGCCCAGACUCCUACGGGAGGCAGCAGUGGGGAAUUUUGGACAAUGGGCGCAAGCCUGAUCCAGCAAUGCCGCGUGCGGGAAGAAGGCCUUCGGGUUGUAAACCGCUUUUGUACGGAACGAAAAGGCUCUGGCUAAUACCUGGGGCUGAUGACGGUACCGUAAGAAUAAGCACCGGCUAACUACGUG